rnacentral:misc_RNA from 1 species
AAAAAGUUAAAUGAGAAACACUUGAUACUGCUGACAACUGACUAAUUUAAAAUACAUGUAUAACUAACAGCAAAAUAGAUAGGGUCGCAGAUGUAACGGCAGAGCAAGAAAAAUGACACUUUUAUUACAAUUAAGUGCCUAUUUCGCAUUUAAAAUCUCGUGUUUUACAAAAUAAGGAAAAGCUAAAUUAACUAAAAACCACAUCAAGGUAACAUCUCUCCCAAUGACAGGUAGGCAUCUAGACGUCUGAAGUUA